rnacentral:lncRNA from 1 species
GGUCAAACAUUAUUAGAAACUUGAUCAAGUUAAUUAUGGACUUGAUUAAUAUUUUCAAAACUUUCUAAUCUUUUCAAAAAUACAAAUCAACCCAACCCACACCCUCUUCAAUCUAAAUCAACCACUCUCUCCUCUUUCUCGACAGCUUCUCUCAGCUCUCUCCCAACCAACAGUUCUGCAAAAUUUCUCCCUUCAACCCUUGACGACAAAUAGUUGGGCUUUGAGUUCCCCUCUUCAAUUCAAUCAACCUGUCUCUCAUCCCUCUCUCGACAGCUUCUCUCAACUCUCUCCCAACCAACUAUUCUGUAAAUUUUUUAUUUCAAUCCUCGGCGAC